UCCAGUGGUAGUCAGCUGUCCAGGACACUGCCAUGUCUGUGACAGUGUUACACAACUGGAAGAGGAAAGUACUGUCCCUUCUAGCUGGUUGUCAUUGGCUCUGUUCUGGAGGCAUCUGACACCGGUGUGGGAGCAGUGUCCUGCUUGUCUGAGAGUGUGCUGUGCGGUUCAUAAUCUACUCAGCACUAGUCUGGAAGCAUACAAC